GAUGAACGCUGGCGGCGUGCCUAAUACAUGCAAGUCGAGCGAACGGACUAGAAGCUUGCAUUUCUGAUGUUAGCGGCGGACGGGUGAGUAACGCGUGGAUAACCUACCUAUAAGACUGGGAUAACUUCGGGAAACCGGAGCUAAUACCGGAUAAUAUUUUAAACCGCAUGGUUCAAAAGUGAAAGGCGGUCUUGCUGUCCCUUAUAGAUGGAUCCCGGCUGCUUUAGCAAGUGGGUAAGGUAACGGCUUACCAAGGCAACGAUCCAUAGCCGACCUGAGAGGGUGAUCGCCAACCCUGGAACUGAGACCCGGUCCAGACUCCUACGGGAGGCAGCAGUAGGGAAUCUUCGGCAUUGGGCGAAAGCCUGACGGGGCAACGCCGCGUGAGUGAUGAAGGUCUUCGGAUCGUAAGACUCUGUUAUAAGGGAAGAAGAUAAGUGUAAGUAACUGUGCACAUCUUGACGGUAACUAAUCAGAAAGCGACGGCUAACUACGUG
rnacentral:rRNA from 1 species